GACGAACGCUGGCGGCGUGCCUAAUACAUGCCAGUCGAACGAGAGCGACCGGUGCUUGCACUGGUCAAUCUAGUGGCGAACGGGUGAGUAACACGUGGGUAACCUGCCCAUCAGAGGGGGAUAACAUCCGGAAACGGAUGCUAAAACCGCAUAGGUCUUCGAACCGCAUGGUUUGAAGAGGAAAAGAGGCGCAAGCUUCUGCUGAUGGAUGGACCCGCGGUGCAUUAGCUAGUUGGUGAGGUAACGGCUCACCAAGGCCGUGAUGCAUAGCCGACCUGAGAGGGUGAUCGGCCACAUUGGAACUGAGACACGGCCCAAACUCCUACGGGAGGCAGCAGUAGGGAAUCUUCCGCAAUGGACGCAAGUCUGACGGAGCAACGCCGCGUGAGUGAAGAAGGUUUUCGGAUCGUAAAACUCUGUUGUUAGAGAAGAACAAGUGCUAGAGUAACUGUUAGCGCCUUGACGGUAUCUAACCAGAAAGCCACGGCUAACUACGUG
rnacentral:rRNA from 1 species